GAGUGGGUGUUUGUCCAGAAGUCUAGAUGUGUGCCAUCUCCAAUGAGGGACCUGGGUGCAUGAGGUUACAGAGAGAUUAUCCUAAAGCUGCCUCCUUCUAGCUUGUAAUCUAGUGAUUUCCUAUCCCAGCACAGCAGUUUAUUACAGUAAGGACAUAAUUUAGCAUCUCUCUGAACAUACCAUUAUUACUGAAUGUAUCGUAAUUAGUUCCUGCUUGCGAAGUACUUGCACACGGAGGAACAUAUUGUACGCGGGUGAGCCAGUGAGACCACAGGAACAGAGCGGUGGAGUCCUGAAAUCUGCCUUGCUCCAGACAGCUGAGAGAAGAGAUAAUGGAUAAACAGCAGCAAUGAGAGUUUCUUCAGCCCACCUCGACAAGAAGCCUAGAGCUCAUUUUGCAGCGCCGUCCUCCACGCCACUUCUGCUGCUGGCUCAGGAGCCAGUGCCACUGAGGUUCUCAACAGAUGAUGCUAUUAAUACAACCCCCUACUAUUUAUUUUUUUCUGUAUGAAAGGGAAUGGACAUACUUGUUUUGCUUACACAGUCCUCUGAAGAGCCAUUAGGUGGUACUAAUGGUGCUUUCGACUGCUGGCAUCUGUUCUAGCUGGGGUUUGAGUAGGGGCCUUGAAGGUAGAGGGCUUUCAAAAACCCAUUUGCUUGCCAAUCCCCUGAGGAAUACCAGCUAUGUUGGUAUCAACAUACUGAAAGAUGUGUGAUACCAGCCAGCAAGCCAGGUGCUCUCAAUGGCAGCAUAAUAGUUU